UUAUGUAUAUUUACUGUUAUUUUAUCAAAUUUAUGUUUCCUUUGAGAAUGACCUUUUUGGCACUUUGCAGCUUCUGUACCUCCUGGGUUACCGUAGCUCCUUCCAUCUGUCCCUCACAGUGCCGUUUUGCAUUGCUGAGGGUAAGUUGUAUGUAAAAACGUUGCUGCAUCAUUACCUUAUUUACUGUGGAAAAUAAGUGAUUUAAGUUGUAAUGUUCGGUUUAUUUUAUAAACUGAUAGUAAUACAAUGUUAAUCAGUCAUUUUGUUUAGGUUUUGAGAGUUUUAUAUCACUUUGGAGACUGUUUGAAUGUAGCAGUAUGUUUUGCCUUGUAUUUUCAUACUUUCUGUUUCGUUUUACAGCCGCAUGUUGUCGUUUAUUUUGUCCACUAGGUGUCACUGUUUUACCAUUUGGUAUACUGUUUCUUUAAUGAGAUUUAUUGUUAAUAUACACUGUAAAACCAAAGUUUUUCAGCCAUUUGUAGCAGCUCUUGGUUAUAAAUAUUUACAUGUAGUUAAAAUACUGAAAUGGUGAUUGUAAUGUAUUUCUAUGUAAUAUAAAUGUGUUUUGAGCUCAGACAGUGCCGUUUUGCAUUGCUGAGGGA